AUUUUACAACAAAAACACGUGUUGUUGCGAUGUCGGCGAAUAUUAGUAAUGUCGACGUUAUUCUAGACACAGAGGAUCUGGAUGUACCGUCAUGUCCUCAUGGACCUGCACUGUUGUUUAUCAAGUACGACCAGGAUGGAGACAAGCCAGGGAAACAGAGAAAGUUCUUCGCAUGUUCUGCCUUCAGAGACAGAAAACAAUGUCGAUUCUUCCAGUAUGCAGAUGAAAAAAUAUCAAAAGAAAAGAUGGAGGAACGCAAGCUAAUUACCAAGGGAAAUUCACCCAAAUAUUCCCACGAGGAUUUGUGGAAUCGAAGUCAGCGCCUACAACACACACAGGUCCAUGAUUCUGCCCGUGUGUACUGUCACACGUGUGACCUCCUGUUGGUGCCAGAGGAACAUCAGCAGCAUAAGGGCCACACACUGAAGAUGAAUAUCUCAUGUUCCUUGCUCCAACGUCCCACACAGCUGUUCCAGCCACAAGACAACAACAAAACAUAUGCUCAAUAUCUGUUUGCAAGCUCCACAGUCACCUUCACGUUAGAGGCCCUUGACAAACUGGGUGUCACCCAUGUCCUCUGUGUAGGGGCUCCAAGAAUACAUGAAGCUGUCACCAACAGAAGUGGAUCCAAGGGCCAUUCAACAAGGACUCUGCUGCUAGACCUGGAUGCAAGAUACAUGCAGGUGUACUCAUCAUCACAGUUCUGCCGCUUCAAUAUGUUCAACUUCCAUUUCUUCGACUCAGAAACUAGUCAGCAAGUGUAUCAAGACUUUGUAACACCAAGUCCCGAGAAACGUGUUGCCAUAGUAACAGAUCCUCCAUUUGGGGGAAUGGUAGAAGCCCUGGCAAGGACCAUGUCCCGGAUCAUGUCCGACUGUGUUCGGCAAGACAAGGAUGAGGAAGAGGUUAUCACUGUUCCGGUGCUGUGGUUCUUCCCCUACUUCCUGGAGAAGAGGAUCGCAGAGGCUAUACCAGCCCUGCAUAUGUUAGAUUACAAGGUGGACUAUGACAACCACAGCUUGUUCUCAGCAAAGAAGAAGAAGGGGUCCCCAGUGAGGAUCUUCACCAACUUACAAGCGAGGCAGAUCCCGCUCCCAAGCAACGAGGGUUACAGGUGGUGUGAGGUGUGUGAGCAGUACUCGGCCGAGGAGAACAAGCACUGUGACAAGUGUGGCCGCUGUACAUCCAAGGAUGGGACAAGCUAUGUUCACUGUGAGACCUGUGAACGUUGUGUGAAGCCUUCCUGGGCUCAUUGUAGUUCAUGCAAUAGAUGUCAGCUACAGGACCACAAGUGUGGGUCAAGCCAAGAGUCAGGUGAGUCAGAUGUCAGGUACAGGACCACAAGUGUGGGUCAAGCCAAGAGUCAGGUGAGUCAGAUGUCAGCUACGGGACCACAAGUGUGGGCCAAGCCAAGAGUCAGGUGAGUCAGAUGUCAGCUACAGGACCACAAGUGUGGGUCAAGCCAAGAGUCAGGUGUCAGAUGUCAGCUACAGGACCACAAGUGUGGGGCAAGCCAAGAGUCAGGUGUCAGAUGUCAGCUACAGGACCACAAGUGUGGGGCAAGCCAAGAGUCAAGUGAGUCAGAUGUCAGGUACAGGACCACAAGUGUGGGGCAAGCCAAGAGUCAAGUGAGUCAGGUGUCAGGUACAGGACCACAAGUGUGGGGUAAGCCAAGAGUCAGGUGAGUCAGAUGUCAGGUACAGGACCACAAGUGUGGGGCAAGCCAAGAGUCAGGUGAGUCAGAUGUCAGCUACAGGACCACAAGUGUGGGUCAAGCCAAGAGUCAGGUGAGUCAGAUGUCAGGUACAGGACCACAAGUGUGGGUCAAGCCAAGAGUCAGGUGAGUCAGAUGUCAGCUACAGGACCACAAGUGUUGGGCAAGCCAAGAGUCAGGUGAGUCAGGUGUCAGGUACAGGACCACAAGUGUGGGUCAAGCCAAGAGUCAGGCUGCCACAUAUGUGGACAGAGUGGUCACAAGAGGAGGGACUGUCCCCUGAAACAUUUGUCAAACAGGAAAAGAAAGAAAGAAUUAGCAUUCCAAUCAGGAGCUGCAGUGUCACGGAAUAA